UUGAAUUGAAGAGUUUGAUCAUGGCUCAGAUUGAACGCUGGCGGCAGGCCUAACACAUGCAAGUCGGGCGGUAACAGGAAAGCGCUCGCGCUUUUGCUGACGAGCGGCGGACGGGUGAGUAAUGUCUGGGGAUCUGCCCGGGGGCGGGGGAUAACCACUGGAAACGGUGGCUAAUACCGCAUAAUGUCGCAAGACCAAAGUGGGGGACCUGAAAGGGCCUCACGCCGUCGGAUGAACCCAGAUGGGAUUAGCUGGUAGGUAGGGUAAUGGCCUACCUAGGCGACGAUCCCUAGCUGGUCUGAGAGGAUGACCAGCCACACUGGGACUGAGACACGGCCCAGACUCCUACGGGAGGCAGCAGUGGGGAAUAUUGCACAAUGGGCGCAAGCCUGAUGCAGCCAUGCCGCGUGUAUGAAGAAGGCCUUCGGGUUGUAAAGUACUUUCAGCGGGGAGGAAGGGUUGAGCCUGAACAGGGCUGGGCCUUGACGUUACCCGCAGAAGAAGCACCGGCUAACUCCGUGCCAGCAGCCGCGGUAAUACGGAGGGUGCGAGCGUUAAUCGGAAUGACUGGGCGUAAAGCGCACGCAGGCGGUCAAUUAAGUUAGAUGUGAAAUCCCCGGGCUCAACCUGGGAACGGCAUCUAAGACUGGUUGACUGGAGUCUCGUAGAGGGGGGUAGAAUUCCAUGUGUAGCGGUGAAAUGCGUAGAGAUGUGGAGGAAUACCGGUGGCGAAGGCGGCCCCCUGGACGAAGACUGACGCUCAGGUGCGAAAGCGUGGGGAGCAAACAGGAUUAGAUACCCUGGUAGUCCACGCUGUAAACGAUGUCGAUUUGGAGGUUGCGGCCCUGAGCUGUGGCUUCCGAAGCUAACGCGUUAAAUCGACCGCCUGGGGAGUACGGCCGCAAGGUUAAAACUCAAAUGAAUUGACGGGGGCCCGCACAAGCGGUGGAGCAUGUGGUUUAAUUCGAUGCAACGCGAAGAACCUUACCUACUCUUGACAUCCUCAGAAUUUGCUGGAGACAGCGAAGUGCCUUCGGGAACUGAGAGACAGGUGCUGCAUGGCUGUCGUCAGCUCGUGUUGUGAAAUGUUGGGUUAAGUCCCGCAACGAGCGCAACCCUUAUCCUUUGUUGCCAGCACGUCGAGGUGGGAACUCAAAGGAGACUGCCGGUGAUAAACCGGAGGAAGGUGGGGAUGACGUCAAGUCAUCAUGGCCCUUACGAGUAGGGCUACACACGUGCUACAAUGGCGGAUACAAAGUGAAGCGACCUCGCGAGAGCAAGCGGAACACACAAAGUCUGUCGUAGUCCGGAUUGGAGUCUGCAACUCGACUCCAUGAAGUCGGAAUCGCUAGUAAUCGUAGAUCAGCAUGCUACGGUGAAUACGUUCCCGGGCCUUGUACACACCGCCCGUCACACCAUGGGAGUGGGUGGCAAAAGAAGUCGGUAGCUUAACCUUUUUGGAGGGCGCUGACCACUUUGUGGCUCAUGACUGGGGUGAAGUCGUAACAAGGUAACCGUAGGGGAACCUGCGGUUGGAUCACCUCCUUACCU
rnacentral:rRNA from 1 species